UACAGAGGUCUCAAGCGUUGUUCGGAUUCAUUGGGCGUAAAGGGUGCGUAGGCGGCGAGGCAAGUCGGAUGUGAAAUCCCGGGGCUCAACCUCGGAACUGCAUUGGAUACUGCCAUGCUUGAGUACUGGAGAGGAGACUGGAAUUUACGGUGUAGCAGUGAAAUGCGUAGAUAUCGUAAGGAAGACCAGUGGCGAAGGCGAGUCUCUGGACAGUUACUGACGCUGAGGCACGAAGGCCAGGGGAGCAAACGGG
rnacentral:rRNA from 1 species